rnacentral:rRNA from 1 species
AUUGAACGCUGGCGGCAUGCCUUACACAUGCAAGUCGAACGGUAACAGGUCUUCGGAUGCUGACGAGUGGCGAACGGGUGAGUAAUACAUCGGAACGUGCCUAGUAGUGGGGGAUAACUACUCGAAAGAGUGGCUAAUACCGCAUGAGAUCUACGGAUGAAAGCAGGGGAUCGCAAGACCUUGUGCUACUAGAGCGGCCGAUGGCAGAUUAGGUAGUUGGUGGGAUAAAAGCCUACAAAGCCGACGAUCUGUAGCUGGUCUGAGAGGACGAUCAGCCAAACUGGGACUGAGACACGGCCCAGACUCCUACGGGAGGCAGAAGUGGGGAAUUUUGGACAAUGGGCGAAAGCCUGAUCCAGCAAUGCCGCGUGCAGGAUGAAGGCCUUCGGGUUGUAAACUGCUUUUGUACGGAACGAAAAGCCCCGGGUUAAUACCCUGGGGUCAUGACGGUACCGUAAGAAUAAGCACCGGCUAACUACGUGCCAGCAGCCGCAGUAA